rnacentral:lncRNA from 12 species
AUAAGAGCCUGUGAAAGUAAUCUACAAUUUUUCAUCUUUUUUUCAGAGUAUUGUUUCUUUUUGGACAUCAUGCCUCUUUGAGAGUUAAAACUCUUGCUUUCAAGUAAUAGUGACUGGGAAGUGCUUUCAGAAUCCUGAGGUACUUCUGUUUCCUGUAACCCCAUCAGCCUGAAGAAAGGUGAAGUGGGUGAAUAUCAGACAGCUCAUUAUAGAGACAUGCAUGCUGCAUUCCCAAAGUAAGAUGACAGAACAAGUCAUGAUCAGUCAUUUACAGCAACGAAGGUAGACAGACAAAAAAAUAAAUUGCAUCAGUGCUUUCUGGAAAAUACGCACUGCCUUGCAGUAUUUGAAAAAAGAAUGGGGGAAAGACAAAAGAAAAUUAAGCUAAAUGUGAAGAGGAAAAGGUGCAACUGUAACUGGAGACAUCAAACUAUACAGAACUCUCUGUGACUCCACAAAUGUGGAUAAGAGUCAUGGAUGUUAAAGGAGACAUUAAUCAGGCUGUUGUGAAAGAUCUGAUACCAGCUUUGGUCAAGGGGGACGAGUGUCAUCCUGAGAGUGCUCCUCUCUGGGACAGGAAACCGGCGGAGCGAAGCCCCGAGAGCACGCCGCGACGCUUCAUAUUCAAUCCACAGCCCUAUAAAGAGAUGAAAAAUGAGCCUUGUCCAAAGCUCUUACCUCAGCACCCAGUGGCAAAAAUAAAAUGUGAGCUUGGGACCAGGUCUCUUUGAAGCUUAUUUUUUCUAUUUUUUUUUAAACUCUCCAACAGGCCUCUGGUGGUUAGAGGUAUUGAUCGUCAGAAAGUAAUCUGUUCAGGUUUGGGGGCAUGCCAGACCGAAUCCUGGAGUACGUUCCUUCCUCUCCAAGGACACGUUGAGCUUUUUAUACUGUCCACACUGGCAUGCUUGUCAGCUGUCUGCCGCCUUUGUUUUUACUGCUUUCCCUGUUUGUGGAAAGCAUAUAAUUAAACCUCCCUUAUACAAAUAUUAUACAUUACUACUCUAGAAUUUUCUGCCAAUGCUGGAGGUUUUUUUUACCCCAUUUUUUAACCCUCAUUUUUCUUCCAUAAUCAUUAUUUGAUUCCCUCUGGCUGCCUGCUACUUAUUUGUAGUAGUACCAUUCAUCCAUUGAGACUUUUCCAUCUGUCACACAGUUUUGCUUUCUCUCCCCAGAAGCUUUCUUCUCCUACUGUGCCAUGCUUGAUUUUUUGGGUUUAGUUGCAUGUUUGUAUGCUCUUUUUAGUAUUUUUAAAAAAUGCUUCAAUAUUCAGAACAAAUACAACAAGAAGAGGAAAAUCCCCCAAUAUAGCAAAGAGCAGCUCAAAUCCAGCACUGAACACAGAAACAGGAUGAGCAGACUGAGAUUCCUGGUGCAACACAUGUAGCCAGGGCAGAACUAGUGGCCAGACCUUGCUCUCUCUGAAUUGUGUUCAUUGCCUUCAAAAUCUUCCCAGCUAGAUAAAUAGGUGAUGGCAGGAAAUGUUGCAUUCCCUCUGCUGAACUGACUCGCUUUGGUGUAUUGAUUAUAAAGACUAUCUGAGGAAAGCCAAACAUACUGAGGUACAAUACUGUGAUUACUUUAGAGAAAAGUGUCAAACAGUCCUUUACUAAAACAAGAUUGUGGUCAUAUCCUACAUUUAAAAUUAAAUGAGCAAUUUUUUUUUGCAGAGGUUAGAUAUUAGAGAAAUGCAGCACUUGUUAGUGUUUCCCAGGUGAAAUGCAGGAAGGGCUAAAGCCAGCAGCAUAACCCCUCAGGAUUAUUGUUUUUUCUCUGUGUAUCUUCAACCUCUAUUGAAGAAAAUCUUAGUUUUUAAUGUGAGCAAGAAUAAGAAAUUUAAC